AUUGAACGCUGGCGGCAGGCCUAACACAUGCAAGUCGAGCGGAUGAAGGGAGCUUGCUCCUGGAUUCAGCGGCGGACGGGUGAGUAAUGCCUAGGAAUCUGCCUGGUAGUGGGGGAUAACGUCCGGAAACGGGCGCUAAUACCGCAUACGUCCUGAGGGAGAAAGUGGGGGAUCUUCGGACCUCACGCUAUCAGAUGAGCCUAGGUCGGAUUAGCUAGUUGGUGGGGUAAAGGCCUACCGAGGCGACGAUCCGUAACUGGUCUGAGAGGAUGAUCAGUCACACUGGAACUGAGACACGGUCCAGACUCCUACGGGAGGCAGCAGUGGGGAAUAUUGGACAAUGGGCGAAAGCCUGAUCCAGCCAUGCCGCGUGUGUGAAGAAGGUCUUCGGAUUGUAAAGCACUUUAAGUUGGGAGGAAGGGCCGUAAGUUAAUACCUUGCUGUUUUGACGUUACCAACAGAAUAAGCACCGGCUAACUUCGUG
rnacentral:rRNA from 1 species